UAAUAAGUGUUUUAUGGCACUUUUUUAAAUCCAUAUCCACCUUGUGUGCAAUGUCAGGGGUUUUUUGGUUUCUUUCGAGAGAUCCCGAAGCCCCCAAACAUCAACUAUUAUCUCAACUCUUUGUCUGAAAAAUAUUAUGAAUAAAACAAUUCAAAAUACAACUUUCAACAACGGAUCUCUUGGCUCUCGCAUC
rnacentral:misc_RNA from 1 species